CAACAGCUAGAGUUUGAUCCUGGCUCAGGAUGAACGCUGGCGGCGUGCCUAACACAUGCAAGUCGAACGGAGAAAGAUGCUUCGGCGUCUUUCUUAGUGGCGGACGGGUGAGUAACGCGUGGGUAACCUGCCCCAUGCAGGGGAACAACAGCUGGAAACGGCUGCUAAUACCGCAUAAGCGCACAGUACCGCAUGGUACAGUGUGAAAAGAUUGUAUCGGUAUGGGAUGGACCCGCGUCUGAUUAGCUAGUUGGAGGGGUAACGGCCCACCAAGGCAACGAUCAGUAGCCGGCCUGAGAGGGUGACCGGCCACAUUGGGACUGAGACACGGCCCAAACUCCUACGGGAGGCAGCAGUGGGGGAUAUUGCACAAUGGGGGAAACCCUGAUGCAGCGACGCCGCGUGAGUGAAGAAGUAUUUCGGUAUGUAAAGCUCUAUCAGCAGGGAAGAAAAUGACGGUACCUGACUAAGAAGCCCCGGCUAACUACGUGCC
rnacentral:rRNA from 1 species